UACGAAGGGUGCAAGCGUUACUCGGAAUUACUGGGCGUAAAGAGUUCGUAGGCGGUUUGUUAAGUCUGAUGUUAAAGAUCGGGGCUCAACCCUGGGAGUGCAUUGGAUACUGGCAGACUGGAGUGCAGUAGAGGCGAGUGGAAUUCCAGUGUAGCGGUGAAUGCGUAGAUAUUGGGAAGAACACCGGUGGCGCAGGCGACUCGCUGGGCUGUAACUGACGCUGAGGAACGAAAGCUAGGGAGCAAAUGGG
rnacentral:rRNA from 1 species